ACGGGAUCCAUCAGGCUUUGCUUGGUGGUGAGAGUGGCGAACGGGUGAGUAAUGCGUGACCGACCUGCCCCAUACACCGGAAUAGCUCCUGGAAACGGGUGGUAAUGCCGGAUGCUCCGACUCCUCGCAUGGGGUGUCGGGAAAGAUUAUAUCGGUAUGGGAUGGGGUCGCGUCCUAUCAGGUAGUCGGCGGGGUAACGGCCCACCGAGCCUACGACGGGUAGCCGGCCUGAGAGGGCGACCGGCCACAUUGGGACUGAGAUACGGCCCAGACUCCUACGGGAGGCAGCAGUGGGGAAUAUUGCACAAUGGGCGCAAGCCUGAUGCAGCGACGCCGCGUGCGGGAUGACGGCCUUCGGGUUGUAAACCGCUUUUGAUCGGGAGCAAGCCUUCGGGUGAGUGUACCUUUCGAAUAAGCACCGGCUAACUACGUGCCAGCAGCCGCGGUAAUACGUAGGGUGCAAGCGUUAUCCGGAAUUAUUGGGCGUAAAGGGCUCGUAGGCGGUUCGUCGCGUCCGGUGUGAAAGUCCAUCGCUUAACGGUGGAUCUGCGCCGGGUACGGGCGGGCUGGAGUGCGGUAGGGGAGACUGGAAUUCCCGGUGUAACGGUGGAAUGUGUAGAUAUCGGGAAGAACACCAAUGGCGAAGGCAGGUCUCUGGGCCGUUACUGACGCUGAGGAGCGAAAGCGUGGGGAGCGAACAGGAUUAGAUACCCUGGUAGUCCACGCCGUAAACGGUGGAUGCUGGAUGUGGGGCCCGUUCCACGGGUUCCGUGUCGGAGCUAACGCGUUAAGCAUCCCGCCUGGGGAGUACGGCCGCAAGGCUAAAACUCAAAGAAAUUGACGGGGGCCCGCACAAGCGGCGGAGCAUGCGGAUUAAUUCGAUGCAACGCGAAGAACCUUACCUGGGCUUGACAUGUUCCCGACAGCCGUAGAGAUAUGGCCUCCCUUCGGGGCGGGUUCACAGGUGGUGCAUGGUCGUCGUCAGCUCGUGUCGUGAGAUGUUGGGUUAAGUCCCGCAACGAGCGCAACCCUCGCCCUGUGUUGCCAGCACGUCAUGGUGGGAACUCACGGGGGACCGCCGGGGUCAACUCGGAGGAAGGUGGGGAUGACGUCAGAUCAUCAUGCCCCUUACGUCCAGGGCUUCACGCAUGCUACAAUGGCCGGUACAACGGGAUGCGACACGGCGACGUGGAGCGGAUCCCUGAAAACCGGUCUCAGUUCGGAUUGGAGUCUGCAACCCGACUCCAUGAAGGCGGAGUCGCUAGUAAUCGCGGAUCAGCAACGCCGCGGUGAAUGCGUUCCCGGGCCUUGUACACACCGCCCGUCAAGUCAUGAAAGUGGGUAGCACCCGAAGCCGGUGGCCUAACCCUU
rnacentral:rRNA from 1 species